GCAGGGGACCUUCUGAACAACUAAAUGGUUGGGUACGGCUGCAACAACUAAUCAAUUAAAACUAGUAACGUUAUUAAAAUCAUAAAAAUUGUUGGCAACAAAUUCGGUCAUUGAUUUUUUUUUGUUGGUCUAUGUUGCACGACACGCUGUAACAUCUCUGUGGGCAGUAAGUCAGCCAAUGCCACGCCUUGUGUGUAGUUCACAUGAUGAAUUACAGGAAAUGACGCCGUCUCCUUCGUCCCUCCGGAGUAAGCAUUUGAAAAGUAAAGAAACUAAACUAAAUGGUACGGUGGAGACUUUUACUGGGAAAGUGUCUGCAUGUGUCCUCGACAAUACACGCAACACCGUGGCAGUUGUCUGUUUUGAACAUACACUGCAGCUGGCGCACCGCUGUAUGCGACGCACUAAUCUUGUCGGUUAACAAUCGGUUAACGAGGGUCAGUUAUCAGUCCCUAGCCUGCUUCUAGGACUACAUGUGGAUAUCUUUUAAAAUGUUUCAUCUGUCGUAUCUUCCGAGGUGUUUGCAAAGUACCACAAUCCUCAUAGGUGACUUUGGGAGAGAAUGAUGAAGAGUCCUAGUUCAUUAUUUCAACACCACCUUCACAUAAAAGUCAAAACUCUGAGAGAGGAAAUGGAGCCGUCUUUACUUCCCCUGAAGAACGAGUGCUUACUGAGUGACUUUGAGCUGCUGUUGGAAACGGAGAAACUCUGGGAUGUCGUUGGCACCGUUUACCUCAACAUGUUCUCAUAAUUGGUGAUAUUGAUCUGGUACCCUCUGCAACUAAAAGAAAUGAUCAGCCCUGAUGAGGACUGUGUUUACCAUUCUGUAUGUGUGACAGAUUUCCCUUCAUCCUCAGAGAGUCGCACACUUUGUGAAGCUCUUUUGUGUUGGUAAAAGUGGAGCACACUGCUGGAUUAGAAUGAGACACAUGAAAAAUUCCUUCCUUAGUGCGACAUGUCCGACUGCCACCCCUAUUUUAUUUUAAUUGCACAGUGUGUUCAUGACUUGUGUUAAGUGACCUACAGUAAACUAUCGCUUCACUGACGGCUUUGUCCACCGCAGAUACUGCAGCCUAUUUAUGCAUGGCAACAUACUCCUAUUAUAAACUCAUAGUUUAAGCUUUCUCCUUCACAAACACAGACA